rnacentral:rRNA from 1 species
UACGGAGGAUCCGAGCGUUAUCCGGAUUUAUUGGGUUUAAAGGGUGCGUAGGCGGCCUUUUAAGUCAGCGGUGAAAGUCUGUGGCUCAACCAUAGAAUUGCCGUUGAAACUGGGGGGCUUGAGUAUGUUUGAGGCAGGCGGAAUGCGUGGUGUAGCGGUGAAAUGCAUAGAUAUCACGCAGAACCCCGAUUGCGAAGGCAGCCUGCCAACCAUUACUGACGCUGAUGCACGAAAGCGUGGGGAUCAAACAGG